GUUCUGUUUAAAGUGUUCGUGUUUGGGGUGCUUGAGAUUUACUAGUUGUAACUUGAUAUACGUGUGCUUUUCGAGCUUUCGGGUCGAAGGCGAAGCGACCAACAGGUGUUGAACACACCAAGCCACAUGACACAUGGGAGCACACAUUAAGGUCUCUGAUGACUGAGAAGAUGAAUAAAAAGAAAUACGAAAAGGUGAUGGUGAUGGCAACCCAACAGACAUGUGCAGCCCAAAAACCAAAUGGUCAAUUACGAUGCAGUUUCGUGAGUCAAACCGAAAAGAAAUCGUGUUUUAUUCAAUUCGGAGCUGAGCUCGGUGAUCUUUUAUGUUGGUCCAAUUAGUUAAUUAUGUGCUCUAAUUUAAUUAAACGUUUAAAUGCUCGUAGCCGGGCAGGGGGGCACGCAAGUGCGAUGGAAUAUCAAAUUAGGCAAUUUAAAUUUUUCGGUAAAACCAACGAAAUAGGGCGCUGGGGGUGUGCGCUUGGCCUGUUUGAUUAACAAAACAUAGUCGUUUGUACAUACUUACUGUUGGUUUUCGGAAUUGAGAGUAAUUAUCGCGUCGAGUGUAAUGUAUAAUUUGUAAAUCAACAAGAUUGUAUCAAGCGUGUUAUUUAUUUUCGAGUAAAUUCGUACAAUUACCA